UACGAAGGGGGCUAGCGUUGCUCGGAAUCACUGGGCGUAAAGGGUGCGUAGGCGGCGCGGUAAGUCGGGUGUGAAAUCUCGGAGCUUAGCUCCGAAACUGCAUUCGAUACUGCCGUGCUUGAGGACUGGAGAGGAGACUGGAAUUUACGGUGUAGCGGUGAAAAUGCGUAGAUAUCGUAAGGAAGACCAGUGGCGAAGGCGGGUCUCUGGACAGUUCCUGACGCUGAGGCACGAAGGCCCAGGGGGAGCAAAACGGGG
rnacentral:rRNA from 1 species